CUGGGCUCAGUUUCUCGACAACAGCAAGAAAUAAGAUGCAUUGAAGAACAUGUCUCCUUGUUUCUUGCAAAGUAAAAAUGAUGCAACAGAAAGUCUGUGUUCGAAGGUCGAAAAGACGACGACGACACAUAGUUUAGGACUGUCCGCACUGGCUGAUUAUGCCGAUAAAGUACAGAUGAAAGCCGCCUCUGACCUCAAUCAAAUCAAUUGUAAAAUAUCAUCGGAGACGAAGGGCGUUCAAGAAUAUAUAGUCUAGUUAGUGUCGGAGGCCAAGGAGAUCAUCAGAGACAUUCAUCACGCUCUUACUGAACAGAAAGACGUACUGG